GGUCUGGUGGCCCAAUUGGCAGGGCGUCUGACUUCGAUUGAUUUUCACAUACAAAAAAUUGAAUAUUCGGAAAUUUAUCAGAAGAUUGCGGGUUCGAGCCCUGUCCGGAUCG
rnacentral:tRNA from 1 species